rnacentral:misc_RNA from 1 species
CCCAAACCCAUGUGAACAUACCUACUGUUGCUUCGGCGGGAUUGCCCCGGGCGCCUCGUGUGCCCCGGAUCAGGCGCCCGCCUAGGAAACUUAACUCUUGUUUUAUUUUGGAAUCUUCUGAGUAGUUUUUACAAAUAAAUAAAAACUUUCAACAACGGAUCUCUUGGUUCUGGCAUCGAUGAAGAACGCAGCGAAAUGCGAUAAGUAAUGUGAAUUGCAGAAUUCAGUGAAUCAUCGAAUCUUUGAACGCACAUUGCGCCCGCCAGUAUUCUGGCGGGCAUGCCUGUCUGAGCGUCAUUUCAACCCUCACGCCCCUAGGGCGUGGUGUUGGGGAUCGGCCAAAGCCCGCGAGGGACGGCCGGCCCCUAAAUCUAGUGGCGGACCCGUCGUGGCCUCCUCUGCGAAGUAGUGAUAUUCCGCAUCGGAGAGCGAUGAGCCCCUGCCGUUAAACCCCCAACUUUCUAAGGUUGACCUCAGAUCAGGUAGGAAUACCCGCUGAACUUAAGCAUAUCAAUAAGCGGAGGA